rnacentral:rRNA from 1 species
UUCGUAUUGUUGUGAGAGAGGUGAAAUUCUUAGACCACAGCAAGACGAACUACUGCGAAAGCAUUUGCCAAGAAUGUUUUCAUUGAUCAAGAACGAAAGUUAGAGGUUCGAAGGCGAUCAGAUACCGCCCUAGUUCUAACCAUAAACUAUGCCAACUAGCAAUUUGCUUAUGUAUGUUUUAUGACUAAGUGAGAGGCCACGGGAAACCAAAGUAGGGUUAUGGGGGAAGUAUGGUUGCAAAGCUGAAACUUAAAGGAAUUGACGGAAGGGCACCACCAGGAGUGGAGCCUGCGGCUUAAUUUGACUCAACACGGGAAAACUUACCUGGUCCUGACACUAGAAGGAUUGACAGAUUGAUAGCUCUUUCUUGAUUUGGUGGAUGGUGGUGCAUGGCCGUUCUUAGUUGGUGGAGUGAUUUGUCUGGUUAAUUCCGAUAACGAACGAGACUCUAGCCUAUUAAAUAACACGCGGAAUCUUGUCUUCCGUGACGUUCCUUAAUGGGAUCAAGUGUGUUUUCCACUU